rnacentral:rRNA from 1 species
AUGGUGGCGAUGCAUGACCCGAUGGGGUCGGCCCUGUCGUGGCUCAUCUACAACCUCGCCACGCACCCGCACGCCAUGCUUGCCAUCCGCGAGGAGCUGGCGCCCAUCGCCGCCGCACGACGCAAAUCUGCCAGGGGCGUCGUGGUGUUUGAGCCAGACGAGACCAAAGACCUAGUGUACCAGCGCGCGGCCAUGUUCGAGUCACUGAGGCUGUACCCGAUCGCGCCCAUGGAGCGCAAGGAGGUCCUCGCCGACGACCUGCUGCCUAGCGGCCACAAGGUGCGGGCCGGCAGCACCAUCCUGAUCUCCACCUACAGCAUGGGGAGAUUGGAGGAGGUGUGGGGAGAGGACUGCCGGGAGUACAGGCCGGAGAGGUGGCUGUCAUCCAACGCAGACGGGAGCGGCCACACGCUGCGGCACGUGCCGUCUCAUGAGUUCGUCGCAUUCAACACCGGACCGAGGGCGUGCCUCGGCAAGAACAUCUCCGUGGCGCUGGUGACAUCCAUCGUCGCCACGGUGGCGUGGAACUUCGAUGUGGAGGUGCUGCAUAGUAACACCGUGAAGCCUAAGCUGUCGGUUAUUCUGCAGAUGAAGAACAGGCUCAUGGCCAAAGUUAAGAGGAGAUCAGAGGGCGACUGA